GCCUCUGUAGCCCGGUGGUUAGAGCACUGGUCUAGUAAACCAGGGCUCGAGAGUUCGAGUCUCUCCUGAGGCU
rfam:Nematostella vectensis strain CH2 x CH6 NEMVEscaffold_32_Cont5602, whole genome shotgun sequence.